rnacentral:rRNA from 1 species
AACGAACGCUGGCGGCAGGCCUAAUACAUGCAAGUCGAACGAAGCCUUCGGGCUUAGUGGCGCACGGGUGCGUAACGCGUGGGAACGUACCCCUGGGUGCGGAACAACGUCGGGAAACUGACGCUAAUACCGCAUAAUGACUCCGGUCCAAAGAUUUAUCGCCCAGGGAUCGGCCCGCGUUAGAUUAGCUAGUUGGUGGGGUAAUGGCCUACCAAGGCUACGAUCUAUAGCUGGUCUGAGAGGAUGAUCAGCCACACUGGGACUGAGACACGGCCCAGACUCCUACGGGAGGCAGCAGUAAGGAAUAUUGGACAAUGGAGGAAACUCUGAUCCAGCCAUGCCGCGUGAGUGAUGAAGGCCUUCGGGUUGUAAAGCUCUUUCAGGCGCGACGAUGAUGACGGUAACACCAGAAGAAGCCCCGCCUAACUUCGUGCCAGCAGCCGCGGUAAUACGAAGGGGCGAGCGUUGUUCGGAAUCACUGGGCUUAAAGCGUGCGUAGGC